rnacentral:rRNA from 1 species
GUCUCUAUCCGCUGUGGGCGUAAGGGAUUUGAAGGGAGCUGCUCCUAGUACGAGAGGACCGGAGUGGACAGACCUCUAGUGUGCCAGUUGUUCCGCCAGGAGCAUCGCUGGGUAGCCAUGUCUGGCAGAGAUAACCGCUGAAAGCAUCUAAGUGGGAAACUCGCCCUAAGAUUAGAUCCCUGUGACCCGUAAGGGUGUAAGACCCCAGAUAGACUAUCUGGUUGAUAGGCAGUAUGUGUAAGCACAGUAAUGUGUUAAGCUAAGCUGUACUAAUGGUCGAGGGCUUCCUUUA